rnacentral:rRNA from 1 species
GAGUUUGAUGGUGGCUCAGGAUGAACGCUAGCGACAGGCCUAACACAUGCAAGUCGAGGGGUAACAGAUAUAAAGCUUGCUUUAUAUGCUGACGACCGGCGCACGGGUGAGUAACACGUAUGCAACCUACCUUUUACAGGAGAAUAACCCAGAGAAAUUUGGACUAAUACUCCAUAAUAUUUUUGUAUCGCAUGAUAUAGAAAUUAAAGUUCCGGCGGUAAAAGAUGGGCAUGCGUCCUAUUAGUUAGUUGGUAAGGUAACGGCUUACCAAGGCUAUGAUAGGUAGGGGUUCUGAGAGGAUAAUCCCCCACAUUGGUAC